rnacentral:rRNA from 1 species
CCGAUAGCGCAUAGUACCGUGAGGGAAAGGUGAAAAGAACCCCGGGAGGGGAGUGAAAAAGAACCUGAAACCCUGUGUUUACAAGCAGUGAAAGUGCGAGCAAGGCACGAUCACGUACUUUUUGUAGAACGGACCGGCGAGUUACGUUAUGCAGCAAGGUUAAGAACUGAAGGUUCGGAGCCGAAGCGAAAGCGAGUCUGAAUAGGGCGAUAGUUGCAUGACGUAGACCCGAAACCGGGUGACCUAUCCAUGAGCAGGUUGAAGUGGAGGUAAAGCUCCAUGGAGGACCGAACCAGACGUCUGUUGAAAAAGGCGGGGAUGACUUGUGGAUAGGGGAGAAAUUCCAAUCGAACCCGGAGAUAGCUGGUUCUCCUCGAAAUAGCUUUAGGGCUAGCCUCAUGGAUCAUUGGUGGGGGUAGAGCACUGAAUGUGCGCGGGGGCCACAAAGCCUACCAAACGCUAUCAAACUUCGAAUACCAUACAAUGCAGACCAUGGGAGUCAGUCCGCGAGAGAUAAGUUCCGCGGGCAAAAGGGGAACACCCCAGAUCAACCGCUAAGGUCCCCAAGUUCACGUUAAGUGGAGAAGGAUGUGGAAUUGCACAGACAACCAGGAUGUUGGCUCAGAAGCAGCCACACAUUUAAAGAGUGCGUAAUAGCUCACUGGUCGAGUGAUUGUGCGCCGAAGAUGUCCGGGGCUAAACGUGACACCGAAGCGAUGGGUGCGUCUGAAAGGAUGCGCGGUAGAGGAGCAAUGUGCAGAGGCAGAAGCCGUAUCGAGAGGCACGGUGGACACUGCACAAGAGAGAAUGCCGGUAUGAGUAGCGAGAGGCAUGCGAGAAACAUGCCCGUCGAAAGCCCAAGGUUUCCUGGGGAAGGUUCAUCCGCCCAGGGUAAGUCGGGGCCUAAGCCGAGGACGGAAGUCGUAGGCGAUGGACAGCAGGUGUAGAUUCCUGCACUACCGAUGGAAUGAAGCAGUGACACAGAAGGAUAACUCGAGCAGGGUGAUGGUCAACCCUGUGCAAGCAUCAAGGUUGGGUUGUAGUGAAGUACGCAACCCUAUAAGCUGAGAUGUGAUGCGGACCGAAAUUUCAGUAGGGAAGCGAGUGAGUUCACGCUGGCGAGAAAAGCUGCUAGUACAUCCAAAGGUACCCGUACCGGAAACCGACGCAGGUGGGCGAGGAGAGAAUCCUGAGACGAACGGGAGAACCCUUGUUAAGGAACUCGGCAAAAUGACCCCGUAACUUCGGGAUAAGGGGUGCCUGCGAGAGCAGGCCGCAGAGAAUAGUCACAAGCGACUGUUUAGCAAAAACACAGGUAUCUGCGAAAGCGAGAGCUGACGUAUAGGUGCUGACACCUGCCCGGUGCUGGAAGGUUAAGGGAACAUGUUAGAGCAAUCGAAGCAUCGAACCGAAGCCCCAGUAAACGGCGGCCGUAACUAUAACGGUCCUAAGGUAGCGAAAUUCCUUGUCGGGUAAGUUCCGACCCG